rnacentral:rRNA from 1 species
AUUGAACGCUGGCGGCAGGCCUAACACAUGCAAGUCGAGCGGAUGAAGGGAGCUUGCUCCUGGAUUCAGCGGCGGACGGGUGAGUAAUGCCUAGGAAUCUGCCUGGUAGUGGGGGAUAACGUCCGGAAACGGGCGCUAAUACCGCAUACGUCCUGAGGGAGAAAGUGGGGGAUCUUCGGACCUCACGCUAUCAGAUGAGCCUAGGUCGGAUUAGCUAGUUGGUGGGGUAAAGGCCUACCAAGGCGACGAUCCGUAACUGGUCUGAGAGGAUGAUCAGUCACACUGGAACUGAGACACGGUCCCGACUCCUACGGGAGGCAGCAGUGGGGAAUAUUGGGCAAAGGGCGAAAGCCUGAUCCAGCCAUGCCGCGUGUGUGAAGAAGGUCUUCGGAUUGUAAAGCACUGUAAGUUGGGAGGAAGGGCAGUAAGUUAAUACCUGGCUGUUUUGACGUUACCAACAGAAUAAGCACCGGCUAACUUCGUG